rnacentral:lncRNA from 1 species
AAAGAAAGCUGAUCAGUAGUGUGUUUCAGUGGCUGUAAACUAGCUUGAAGUAUUUGGAUGUUCAGUUUCCUGAGAAAAGUAACAAAAAUGUUAGAGCUAAUCUUAAUCCUUUAAUUAUGGUGCUGACUAAUGACUUAAGCAGAUGGUAGGCUUUCCCUCUCUCAUUGUGGGGGAAGGUUAAUACAUACAAUUAAAAUUAAUAUAUUACCCAGCCUUCUUUCCAUUCUGAGUACAUCACCAGUUUCUGUUCCCUUUCUCUCUUCCCUCUCCUACUUUUAUUUAUUUAUUUAUUUAUUUAUUCAUUUAAAGUUAAAAAGCUUGGAGGUUUUUGAGGAUUAGGAAGGAGAAGGGAAAAAAAAAAAGAAGAAAAUUUAGGAGCUGUAUACUUUAAUAUUAAGUUGCAUUAUUUACCUGCUAUCUUGGGGGCAGCUGGCUUGAUUUCUGAAUCAUUAUUUUUUAGAAUCCUCAGUGUGGCAAUUGAGAGAAGAGCAUUGAUAUCUUACCCACAUUUACAGGGCAUUUUGAAUUCUGAUAGCUUGUCUCCACUGAAACAUUCACCUCAAUUGGAGGCAGUCAGCAACAACCCCUCCUAAAGACAGAAUCGCCAACUUGGAGAAGCUGCAAAAUUUCUGCUGCUCAGCUGUGGGAGAACACCAGAAAAUCUCCGAAACUUUGUGGAAAAUGAUCAUCUACUGAAGGAGAAACGUACUAGAGCACAGGAAAAAAUUGAUACAUGAGAAAGAGCAAAAUUAAUCAUGCAGCUGUGGAACAGAUUGGGACCUAGUAUUGUCACAAUGUUGAGUUCUCCAGAACUUUGUAUUAGGGGGCUGUAGCCCAGCUGGCAGGAAUAGAAAUGUUCUCUACGAGCAGAAGGAGAUUAUGUAAAUAUCUAAAAAACAGCGUAGCUACUGAGCAUUGGCUUCUCAUUAUUUAAUCUAAACCCACAUGUAGUUUAGCUCCUCUGACUUAGAUAUUUGAUUACUUCCCAGAAAAUUAGCAGGAGUAUGCAUUGGAUGCACAUAAAUUGUUUUAAUCUGGUUCUGUGUGUAGCACCAAUCACUGGUGAAGAGUCAAGUUGGCACCUAUGUCUUGUUCUAAUAUUUGGUUCUCAAAGCAGGUAAGGAGUAAAAUUCCAUUUAAUGCCACCAGGGAUUUUGUUCAAAGGAGAACACACUGCUUCACUUUUAUAGCUAGGAGCUACGGAUUUAUUGAAGACCAUAUUUUAAUAGGCAGCUCUGAUCAUCUCGUUUACAAAUUCACCCAUUAUAAAGGGACAUUGAUAUUUACAUCACCCAUACUUACAAAAUACUGCUGCUGUGUAUAGCAAAUGGAUGCAUCUGGUACAAAGAAUGGUGAAACUGGGCGGAGUAGCGAUGAAGGGCUACUUCAGGAAACAACAAGUAAGCUUUGGAAUACUGAAACAGGAACAUUUUUCUCAUACCCAGUGCUCUCCAGAACUUCACAGCCAACUCAAGAAGUCAGUCCUGUGUCAGCAGGGAAGACCAAUGACCUCCAUCUGAAGAAAAAGUAUUAUCUUCUGAUUUGUAUUACUACUGCUGGGUUGCCUUGGACGUUUUUUCUCCAAAGAAAGCAGCACAGGUGUGCAGCUUUAACUAGAGGAAAAAGGAAUUACGCUCUUCUUGGCACCAGAUGUUUCCCUAUGAAAGGCAAGAUCUGGGUGCAUAUGAAAUGACUUUCUGGUGAGAAGAGCUCGUUCUUGCACUGGUUAACAUGUUGUUUAUGCUCAGACACCUGAGGGUUUAUAUCCUAUCCAGACUUCUGCAUUUUCUGAAGUUGUUUGUAUGUGAUGUUUAUCCAAUAAAGAAAGAAUGGAC